AUUGAACGCUGGCGGCAGGCCUAACACAUGCAAGUCGAGCGGAGCGGAGGCCGGGUGAGUGAUGCCUAGGAAUCUGCCUGGUCGUGGGGGAAACCGUCCGGAAACGGGCGCUAAUAACGCAUACUCUCAGAUGAGCCUAGGGCGGAUUAGGUAGUUGGGUGGGUAAAGGCCUACCAAGGCGACGAUCCGUAACUAGUCUGAGAGGAUGAUCAGUCACACUGGAACUGAGACACGGUCCAGACUCCUCCGGGAGGCAGCAGUGGGGAAUAUUGGACAAUGGGCGAAAGCCUGAUCCAGCCAUGCCGCGUGUGUGAAGAAGGUCUUCGGAUUGUAAAGCACUUUAAGUUGGGAGGCGUUACCAACAGAAUAAGCACCGGCUAACUUCGUGCCAGCAGCCGCGGUAAUAC
rnacentral:rRNA from 1 species